rnacentral:rRNA from 1 species
AACGAACGCUGGCGGCAUGCCUAACACAUGCAAGUCGAACGAGACCUUCGGGUCUAGUGGCGCACGGGUGCGUAACGCGUGGGAACCUGCCCUUAGGUUCGGAAUAACUCCCCGAAAGGGGUGCUAAUACCGGAUAAUGUCUUCGGACCAAAGAUUUAUCGCCUUUGGAUGGGCCCGCGUUGGAUUAGCUAGUUGGUAGGGUAAAAGCCUACCAAGGCGACGAUCCAUAGCUGGUCUGAGAGGAUGAUCAGCCACACUGGGACUGAGACACGGCCCAGACUCCUACGGGAGGCAGCAGUGGGGAAUAUUGGACAAUGGGCGAAAGCCCGAUCCAGCAAUGCCGCGUGAGUGAUGAAGGCCGUAGGGUUGUAAAGCUCUUUUACCCGGGAUGAUAAUGACAGUACCGGGAGAAUAAGCGCCGGCUAACUCCGUG